rnacentral:rRNA from 2 species
AAAUAAAUCAAAACUUUCAACAACGGAUCUCUUGGUUCUGGCAUCGAUGAAGAACGCAGCAAAAUGCGAUAAGUAAUGUGAAUUGCAGAAUUCAGUGAAUCAUCGAAUCUUUGAACGCACAUUGCGCCCGCCAGUAUUCUGGCGGGCAUGCCUGUUCGAGCGUCAUUUCAACCCUCAAGCCCCC